AGAGUUUGAUCAUGGCUCAGGAUGAACGCUAGCGGCAGGCUUAAUACAUGCAAGUCGUGGGGCAGCAGUCCCGCAGCAAUGNNGAGGCGACCGGCAAACGGGUGCGGAACACGUACACAACCUUCCUUUUAGUGGGGAAUAGCCCGGGGAAACCCGGAUUAAUACCCCGUAACAUAAUGAAGUGGCAUCACUUUAUUAUUAUAGCAGCAAUGCGCUUUAAGAUGGGUGUGCGACUGAUUAGGCAGUUGGCGGGGUAACGGCCCACCAAACCUACGAUCAGUAACUGGUGUGAGAGCACGACCAGUCACACGGGCACUGAGACACGGGCCCGACUCCUACGGGAGGCAGCAGUAAGGAAUAUUGGUCAAUGGACGCAAGUCUGAACCAGCCAUGCCGCGUGGAGGAUGAAGGUCCUCUGGAUUGUAAACUUCUUUUAUCUGGGAAGAAACCCACGAAUUCUUUUGUGGUUGACGGUACCAGAUGAAUAAGCACCGGCUAACUCCGUGCCAGCAGCCGCGGUAAUACGGAGGGUGCAAGCGUUAUCCGGAUUCACUGGGUUUAAAGGGUGCGUAGGUGGGCAGGUAAGUCAGUGGUGAAAUCUCCGGGCUUAACUCGGAAACUGCCAUUGAUACUAUCUGUCUUGAAUACCGUGGAGGUCAGCGGAAUAUGUCAUGUAGCGGUGAAAUGCUUAGAUAUGACAUAGAACACCAAUUGCGAAGGCAGCUGGCUACACGAAUAUUGACACUGAUGCACGAAAGCGUGGGGAUCAAACAGGAUUAGAUACCCUAGUAGUCC
rnacentral:rRNA from 1 species